rnacentral:rRNA from 1 species
ACUACUCUGCGUAUCGGAUAUUGGGCGUAAGAGCUCGUAGGCGGUUUGUCGCGUCUGCUGUGAAAUCCGGAGGCUCAACCUCCGGCCUGCAGUGGGUACGGGCAGACUAGAGUGCGGUAGGGGAGAUUGGAAUUCCUGGUGUAGCGGUGGAAUGCGCAGAUAUCAGGAGGAACACCGAUGGCGAAGGCAGAUCUCUGGGCCGUAACUGACGCUGAGGAGCGAAAGGGUGGGGAGCAAACAGGCUUAGAUACCCUGGUAGUCCACCCCGUAAACGUUGGGAACUAGUUGUGGGGUCCAUUCCACGGAUUCCGUGACGCAGCUAACGCAUUAAGUUCCCCGCCUGGGGAGUACGGCCGCAAGGCUAAAACUCAAAGGAAUUGACGGGGACCCGCACAAGCGGCGGAGCAUGCGGAUUAAUUCGAUGCAACGCGAAGAACCUUACCAAGGCUUGACAUAUACGAGAACGGGCCAGAAAUGGUCAACUCUUUGGACACUCGUAAACAGGUGGUGCAUGGUUGUCGUCAGCUCGUGUCGUGAGAUGUUGGGUUAAGUCCCGCAACGAGCGCAACCCUCGUUCUAUGUUGCCAGCACGUAAUGGUGGGAACUCAUGGGAUACUGCCGGGGUCAACUCGGAGGAAGGUGGGGAUGACGUCAAAUCAUCAUGCCCCUUAUGUCUUGGGCUUCACGCAUGCUACAAUGGCCGGUACAAAGGGCUGCAAUACCGCGAGGUGGAGCGAAUCCCAAAAAGCCGGUCCCAGUUCGGAUUGAGGUCUGCAACUCGACCUCAUGAAGUCGGAGUCGCUAGUAAUCGCAGAUCAGCAACGCUGCGGUGAAUACGUUCCCGGGUCUUGUACACACCGCCCGUCAAGUCAUGAAAGUCGGUAACACCUGAGCCGGUGGCCUAACUCUUGUGGAGGGAGCCGUCGAAGGUGGGAUCGGUAAUUAGGACUAAGUCGUACCAAGGUAAACAUA